UGCCCAGCAACUCCUACUCCUACCUCUUCGUGUUACCGGCCGGAAACUAUGAGCAACCUUAGGGAAUAUCGGGUAACCAACCCCGGUGGGAACUUUGGUCGUAGGCUGACAGGGAAGG
rnacentral:ribozyme from 1 species